CAUGCAGUCGAACGAUGAUCCGGUGCUUGCACCGGGGAUUAGUGGCGAACGGGUGAGUAACACGUGAGUAACCUGCCCUUGACUCUGGGAUAAGCCUGGGAAACCGGGUCUAAUACCGGAUACGACCUGUCACCGCAUGGUGGUGGGUGGAAAGAUUUUUUGGUUUUGGAUGGACUCGCGGCCUAUCAGCUUGUUGGUGAGGUAAUGGCUCACCAAGGCGACGACGGGUAGCCGGCCUGAGAGGGUGACCGGCCACACUGGGACUGAGACACGGCCCAGACUCCUACGGGAGGCAGCAGUGGGGAAUAUUGCACAAUGGGCGAAAGCCUGAUGCAGCGACGCCGCGUGAGGGAUGACGGCCUUCGGGUUGUAAACCUCUUUCAGCAGGGAAGAAGCGAAAGUGACGGUACCUGCAGAAGAAGCGCCGGCUAACUACGUGCCAGCAGCCGCGGUAAUACGUAGGGCGCAAGCGUUGUCCGGAAUUAUUGGGCGUAAAGAGCUCGUAGGCGGUUUGUCGCGUCUGCUGUGAAAGCCCGGGGCUCAACCCCGGGUCUGCAGUGGGUACGGGCAGACUAGAGUGCAGUAGGGGAGACUGGAAUUCCUGGUGUAGCGGUGAAAUGCGCAGAUAUCAGGAGGAACACCGAUGGCGAAGGCAGGUCUCUGGGCUGUAACUGACGCUGAGGAGCGAAAGCAUGGGGAGCGAACAGGAUUAGAUACCCUGGUAGUCCAUGCCGUAAACGUUGGGCACUAGGUGUGGGGGACAUUCCACGUUUUCCGCGCCGUAGCUAACGCAUUAAGUGCCCCGCCUGGGGAGUACGGCCGCAAGGCUAAAACUCAAAGGAWUUGACGGGGGCCCGCACAAGCGGCGGAGCAUGCGGAUUAAUUCGAUGCAACGC
rnacentral:rRNA from 1 species